ACACAGCAAUGCAACCGUAACAAUGGCUGUCACAUGAAUAAUUCCAAAAAAUAAUGGUCACCAUUUUGAAUAAUAACAGUAUUUAAAUGAACCGGAAUAUGCACCUGUUGUUUUUUAAUACAAGUUGAUAACAAUAAGGUAAACCCACUGCUGAAUGAACAGAAAAGGCUCCAAGAUUAAUAAA